rnacentral:misc_RNA from 1 species
GUGCUCGUGAUGGCGGGCGAGGUGCGGUCCGUGGUGCUCAAAAGGGGUCCGGAGGGCGGAUUCGGGUUCUCCAUCCUCGGCGGUUCUGGCUCCGAGCUGCCCCCGAUCGUGUAUGAUAUCGUAGCGGGCUCGCCAGCCUCCAAUAGUGGCCAGCUGGAGGCGGGCGAUGUGAUUCUGGAGGUGAAUGACCAGGAGGUCAGUGACCUCACCACCAAAGAAGUGCUGAAAUGUCUGCGGCUCUCGGAGCAGUCGGUCUCGCUCAAACUGCGGAAAGAUGACGCGGUCCGGCAGCGGGUCCGCCAGUACCUGCAGUCGCCGCAGACCCUGGAGCAGCUGCGGCCGGCCAUCACCCAGCGCGACCUGGCGCACGUCCGAGAGGUGGUGGCCAUGAAGGGCUCGUCGCGCCGCGCGCCGGCCGCCGUGCCGCGCGUGCCGCUGGUACACAGCCCGCCCAAGGGGCGCGCCAAGCCGCUGCCGCCGCCGUCCGAGGCGCGCCGCCAGACGGACGGCGCGGCGCACACCAACGGGCACGGCGGCGCGCCGCCGGCGCCGGCCGACGGACGGCCGCGCUUCGAGGCGUUCACCAUGACCGGCGAGCUGAUGCUGAAUCUGUCGCGUCUGCCGGCCGACGAGCUGCCGCCGCCGGGCCCGCCGCCGGCCGCCGGCGGCGGCUCGGCGCCCACCAGUCCGCCAGCGGCUCCGUCCGGCGGCGGCGGCGGCCUGUUCCGCGGCUCCCGCUCCGAGGACCGGCUCCUGUCUCCGCCGGCGGAGGCGGACUCCGCAGCGGAGCGGGCCGGAUCCGUGGACCCACUGCCCGACACCGACACGGCGCGGGGCAACGGACCGAGUCCGGCACAGCGAAUACUCGAACAGGACAACGACCGGGGGGACGAACAGGGCAACGGCCGGGGGAGCGACCGGGGUAACGACCUGGGGAGCGACCAGGGUAACGACCGGGGGAGCGACCAGGGUAACGACCUGGGUAACGACCAGGGUAACGCACAGAGCAGCGGCCGCAGUGGGACGGCGAGCGGCCGGAGCGGCGAGCGGACAGACGCCACCGACACCGGCCGGCCGUGUGGUGAGAGCCGGCUGAACGGAGAGAGUACCGAGCAGAGCGGAGCACACGACGCCGGCCCCGGCAGUCCCGACUCGGACGACGGCUCCGACUCGGAGAGCCAGCGCAGCCUGCCGCCGCCCUGCCCCAGGGCCGUGGAUGGGCCGUCGGCCGGCCGGCUCGCCAAGCGGCUCUACAUGCUGGAGGGCUUCCGGCGCUCCGACGUCUCCAGGCACCUCGGCAAAAAUAACGAGUUCAGCCGGGCGGUGGCCGAGGAGUACGUCAAACACUUUGACUUCAGCGGCUGCUCGCUGGACGCGGCUCUCAGCCAGUUCCUGGAGCGGUUCUCGCUGACCGGGGAGACCCAGGAGCGCGAGCGGGUGCUGGUGCACUUCAGCCGCCGCUACAUGGACGGCAACCCGGCCGCCUUCAACUCCGUCGACGCGUGCCACACCCUGACCUGCGCGCUGAUGCUGCUCAACACCGACCUGCACGUGCAGCACGUGCCGCGCAAAAUGACCUGCGCAGAGUUCGUCGACAACCUGUCGGAGCUGAACGACGGCCGGGACUUCCCCGAGGAGACGCUGCGGCGGCUGUACCAGGCCAUCCGGGCGCGGCCCAUACACUACGCCGCCGAUGACGAGUACGAGGAGAUGGAGGCGGCUCCGGCGACCGGCCUGUCACCUGGCGGCGGCGUGACGAACCCGUUCCUGGCGGCGCCUGAUCCCGAUAAGGCCACAGAGUACAAGCGCGGCUACAUGAUGCGGAAGUGCUGUCUGGACGCCGGCGGGAAGCGCACGGCGCUGGGCCGGCGCUCGUGGCAGAUGUUCCACUGCACGCUCCGCGACCUGGUGCUGUACCUGCACAAAGACGAGAGCGGCUCGCGGCGGGCGGCUGCCUUCGAGCACCUGCACAACGCCAUCAGGGUGCACCACGCGCUGGCCUCCAAGGCUGAGGACUACGUGAAGAAGCAGCACGUGUUUAAACUGCAGACGGCUGAUCAGGCCGAGUAUCUGCUCCAGACCAGUGACGCCAAGGAGCUGCAGUCGUGGGUGGACACGGUGAAUUUCGUGGCGGCCAGUCUCUCCUCGCCGCCUCUGCCGGGCGCCGUGGGCAGUCAGAGACGCUUCCAGCGACCGCUGCUGCCGUCCGGAGUCACCUCCCGCAGCCUGCACGACCAGCUGCUGGGCCACGAGGACCGGCUGGCGGAGAUCGAGUCCGAGCUGUCGGAGCUGGACGCCGCCACCGACCCGGAGGGCAGGCCCAGCCACCACCAGCGGCAGUACCAGCGGCACAAGGCCGCCUUCCUGCAGACAGAGGCGGUGCGGUACCGCACCUACUGCCAGCUGCUGCGCUCCAAAAUGGCCGCCGAGCCGCCGCCGCCAGCGCCCCUGGCGGCCGCCGCCGCAGUCUCGCCUACCGCAGCAGCCGACAGAGGGCGGCCCGGGCGGACGGCCGACAGCGCUGUCUCCGCGGAGGAGGAGCCCUCGGCCGCCGCCGGCUCUGGCGCCACCAAGGAGCACCUGCUGUCGGCUAAGAAGCAGCGGCGCCCCACCCCGGACCAGGCGCAGACGGGGCAGACAGUGGCGGACAGCGCCGCGGGAGCAGACGGCAGCGUGCCGCCGCCGGACGGGGAGGGUGCGGCCGCAGCUGAGCGGCCGGCCACCGGUACAGCCGCCCAGGGUACUCCUGCCACCGGUACAGCCGCCCAGGGUACUCCGGCCACCGGUACAGCCGCCCAGGGUACUCCGGCCACCGGUACAGCCGCCCAGGGCACUCCGGCAGGCGCCUCAGCCGCCGCAGACGGUGAAGUCACCGCCAAGAAGAAGCGCCGCUGGUGGCAGAAAUGAGCCGCUCCGUUAGAGGCCAAACGGCGCGGCUGGAGGCCCGCUCCGGUAGAGGCCGAACGGCCGCGGACCGGACCGGACUUUGUUAGAGGCCGAGCCGCGGACCGGGCCGCUGUCUGCGCCUGUGUGCCCCCGCUGGCCUGUCUGGGCCGGUGUGUGUGUGUCUGUCUGCUCCCCAGUCCGUCUGUUUCUGUGUUACCAGCCGGCGGAGGUGUGUGUUCGCCGCGGCCCGCAGUAACACGGUGUGCUCCCCGCGCUAACCCCGGCUGUGCCCCCCGGCCGGUUAGGCCGCCAUUAGUCGGCGCGUCUGCCCCCGCCCGGAGAGUUGAGUCACGGCGCCGCCUGUGUGAUUUCAGUGCCACUGGCUCUGCCGGAUAUUGCGCCGUUAGAUGUGUUGGAUAUGACGUGAGUAGGUACUGGUAGGCGCCGCCGUGUCAGUGGCCGUGUGUCUGUGUGUCUGUGUGCUGAAUGUAGGUACAGAGCUACAAUACAAAAACCGGCGGAAA